rnacentral:rRNA from 1 species
UACGGAGGGUGCAAGCGUUAUCCGGAUUUACUGGGUUUAAAGGGUGCGCAGGCGGAUAUGUAAGUCAGUGGUGAAAUCUCCAGGCUUAACCUGGAAAUUGCCGUUGAUACUAUAUAUCUUGAAUGCUGUGGAGGUAAGCGGAAUAUGUCAUGUAGCGGUGAAAUGCUUAGAUAUGACAUAGAACACCUAUUGCGAAGGCAGCUUACUACACAGAUAUUGACGCUCAUGCACGAAAGCGUGGGGGUCAAACAGG